CAUGUAGGCGGAUUGAUAAGUUUGAAGUGAAAUCCUAUAGCUUAACUAUAGAACUGCUUUGAAAACUGUUAAUCUAGAAUGUGGGAGAGGUAGAUGGAAUUUCUGGUGUAGGGUAAAAUCCGUAGAGAUCAGAAGGAAUACCGAUUGCGAAGGCGAUCUACUGGAACAUUAUUGACGCUGAGAUGCGAAAGCGUGGGGAGUAAACA
rnacentral:rRNA from 1 species